AUGAAGGGCGGCGACAUCACGGCACCCAAGGGGGCGCCGUACCCCGGGACGGCGGAGAGCCCCGAGCUGCGCUCGGCACUCAUCCGGAAGAUCUACGUCGUCCUCUGCCUGCAGUUUCUCCUCACCGCCGUCGUCGCGGCCGUCGUCGUCAAGGUCCCCGCCAUCCCUCACUUCUUCCUCUCCACCCACGCCGGCCUCGGGCUCUACAUGUUCAUCCUCAUCUUCCCCUUCAUCGACAAUCAUGUUGUCAGGCAUUUGGGGGUUGUACCAAUUCUAAGGGGCCAUGACUUCAGCUUCCUUGGUCCUUUCCUAUUUGCUUCUCUCAUCGUGCUGCUCGUCUUUGGUUUCAUUCAGAUCCUCUUCCCGCUGGAUGAGCUCUCUCUCAUGAUCUUUGGCGUGCUGGCGGCACUCAUCUUCAGUGGCUUGAUUGUUUAUGACACAGACAACAUCAUCAAGCGUUGCGCCGGCGGCAUUCAUCUUCUGUGGUUUGAGACACGGACGACAUCAUCAAGCGUUACGUAUGACGACUGA
rnacentral:rRNA from 1 species